GCUGGGCGUGGUGGCGUGCGCCUGUAAUCCCAGCUACUCAGGAGGCUGAGGCAGGAGAAUCGCUUGAACCCAGGAGGCAGAGGUUGCAGUGAGCCGAGAUUGUGCCACUGGACUCCAGCCUGGGUGACAGAGUGAGACUCUGUCUCAA
ensembl:misc_RNA Metazoa_SRP Metazoan signal recognition particle RNA